UAAUAAUCGACCUCAGCUUCAGAGCGGAGUUUGAGAUGGCAAGGGCCAGUCCAGGGUACAAUAGUCUGGUUGCUCGCCUCCCGGAGAUAUUCGUCGGCAAGUUGGAGAAGUUGUGCAGUGUGAUCAAAGUUGUGUGUGCCGCAGCAAAAAAGUGCAUGAAGGACAACAAAAUGCACUUGGGACCAUGGAGGAAGCACAAGUACAUGCAGUCUAAGUGGCUGGGAACGAGUCCAAGGAUGCCAUCAGCAGCUCCGUUCCUGCAUGCAGCGGAGAAGGUUUCUGACAGGCAACCAAAACAAAGAACUUCAAUGCUCACAUUAGAUUUGCAGCAAACUGCCGUUGAAGUUG
rnacentral:misc_RNA from 1 species